rnacentral:lncRNA from 1 species
UUUAAAAGGUCUCAUAGCAGAGGAAGAAGUUAUGGUUUCUGGUAACUGCACUAAUAAUAGACCUUUUGAGAGUGACUAGUAAAAUGAUGUUGCUCACUCUAGUCUUGCAUUUAUGAGCUUCUAGGAAAGAAAAUUGGUAUAUUCUGCUGGAACAAUUGCUAUGUUUUUGCAAUAUUCAAUCCUAGCAGUUCAGCAUUUUUAAUUGUUUGAAGUCGAAUACAGUUGAACUUGCAAGAUAUUGGAAUGCUUUCCCAAUUGGUGAAUCUUUGAGAGUAGAUACCGGAACAUUACAUAAAAUUAACAUGGAGAUGCAUCAUAUCUAAUCCAACUGCUCUAUUCAUUUGAUCAGAAUAAGCUGUGUGCUAAAGGAAAGCCAAUUCUGGCUAAACCAAAAUAAUGGUACUUCACUCAAUUAUCAUCCUAUAUUAU